AGAAAUCGCUGCUUAAAGAGAGGGGAAGAGACUUUGGAGUGGCUGGAGAGCAAGUAGGAGGCAGGGACUAAGUGGAGAAAUCCUACAAAUCACAAUCCCAUCAAUUCAGCCCCACGUCUAAAGGGGCUGUUUAGGUCCCCCCCUUCCUUGCUCAUUCAUCUGAGCGUGUGUGAGUGAAAAUUGGAGAGGCAACCGUCCUCUGUUGUUUUUCCAAAUGUUAGCGGGUGGUGCUUUUUUUUUUUAAUAUAUAUAUAUAAAUAUAUAUAUAUAAAUGGGGGGGAGGGAGGAAGGAGGGAGCUUAUUGAUAUUAUUUUCCCCUGUCGGGAUUCCUCCUGGUUAAAAAAAGACAAGGGGAAAGAAGGGGAAAGAAGGGGAAAAAAAAAGGUAAAAGCUGAAUGGAUUGGGGGGGGGGAGGGAGUGGGGAGGAUGAGAGGAUUAAAAAGCAAACCGGGAGCAGAGGAGGAGGGAUGACAAGAGCCUGCAGGUGCAGGGAGGCUAAAUUCCCUGCAGGGGUCAUGUGCUGCGGGAGCCGGGGAUCCUGGGCUCCCCGGGGCCGGCGGCGGAGGGCCGGGGCCGGGGGGCGGCGGGGGCGGCUCGGCGGGGGCUGCGGCACCUGCGGGGGGCUCGCCCCCGGCCAGCACCCCCGCAGGAGAUCAACUUUAAGGAGCAGACUGCCGGUCCGGGAGGCAAGGAGGCAGGGGAGGAGAGGGGAAAUGGCUUAGGAACAGCGGCUGCCAAGCGGGUGAAGUUCAGGGCACAAUCCCGGCUCGUCCACGCUCCGGCAGCCCAGCAUCUUCCCGGGGUCUGGAGAACAAGGUGUUCAACAAGUCUUCCUUGUUACCCGAAAUUGAUUGAUGAUGGCUUUCCCGCCCGGCUGUAUUUAACAGAGCGAUGCGGAGAGCUACUCUGACGAGCAGGAUGUUUUAGAGGAGCUCGCUCUACAGCAGCAGCUUUAAUUUCUCUCCCUCUGUCUCUCCGUACACAUACACACAAACACACGUACACACGCACACCUGUGUGCAUGUGUAUGCACAGAUAAAUAAAAAUACGGCACUGUAUCA
rnacentral:lncRNA from 1 species